rnacentral:lncRNA from 1 species
AGGCGCGGCGAGGCGGGUGGCGCGCGGCAGCAGGGUUGGGCUCUCGCCGUGAGUCGACGAAGGGAGCGCGGGCGCGCGCCCGCGUCCGCGCACUGAGAGUCGCCUCGGCCGCUCGCUUUCUCGACUCCCGCCUCGCGCCUCGAUCCUGUUCCGCCUCCCUCGGCCCUCCUGCCCGCCCCCACUCGUCGGCCCUCAGGUUCCUGGAAAGUGAAAAUUUCAUUUCUUUGUGGACAGGUACCUAAAAUGUCUCAUUAUUCAUCAAUUAAUGAAAAACAAAUGAAAAUUUGAGAGAGAUAUUCUGAAGAAUAAAAGGAUCAAGUUGGGUCAUUUCUAAAAUCUCAGAGACCUAAUAGGAUGGGGUCUUAGAGAAACAUCUUUUGAGCCACAGACUUCUUUGUUACCAGAAGGAAAAUGAAAGAAGAAAUUUAAAUACCACUUGAAGAGAGGUAAAUAAAUGAGAAAUGGGGCUGAGAGGGCGGGUAUUUUUUUAAAAAUUCAUUAAAUGGAAAAAUCCACAAAUGUUAAUUCUGGUAGAUUUCUUAGAAAUUACAUCAGAGGAGCAUGCUUGGUCUUCCCACCCUCAUUAGGCCUCAGUGACAGGUACUUGAACAACUGAGCCCCUAAUGUGCAUGCUCCCCCACCCCUGAAGCCAGUCUCUGCCCUCCUCUUCCCUCCUCUUGCCCCUGGAAGCUGAUCGCCACCAACUGGCCUCUGGGUGGAUUUGGCCAAUGGAAGCACCUGUAGAGGGAAGAGAGUGAGGUUAGGAUAUUUCUUCCUGCUGUCUCCGUGCUUCCCUGCAGAGAGUGUGAAGAAAUGACCCUGAAAAGCCUCUGGCAGAGGAUUCUUCUUUCAGGAUGGUGUCGCCUCCUCAGCAGCCCAUCCUCCUCCCCUGGACUCAAGCUCUCAUUCCAGUAACACUCCUUCCUCCUUCUCCAUCUUCAGGGGGAGGUUUGCCAGUCGGUGGGUUCUAAGCAUAUCUCGCUGAUUCCCCCCAACCCUGCCGACACCUCUGUAGGUCGUCCCUUCAUUAAAAUCUCUCCAUUUGAACUAUCUGAGUUUAAUUCCAUUUCCUCCUGGUAUCUCAGUGAUACACGGUAUCAGUACAAAAAUCUCGCUUCACCUUCAGAACCAACAGAUUUGAGACAUUUUAUCCUCUGUGGAACCAUUAGUUAUUUUGUCAUUGGUUGUAUCAGAAAAAAAAAUCAGGAAUGCAAAUCCUUCUUUAUUACAGAUUCAGAUUUGCAUAUUACCAAUGUUAUAUAUUUUAAACAAAACUAUUCAUCAUAAGUUUUAAAAAUUAACUACUGGAGUAGUUAAUGAAUCUGAAUGUAAUUAUGUAGCUUUCAUAAUAUUAAAGUAAAAAUACUAAAAGAAGUAUUUCUUAAAGAAGCAAAUGCUCAAUCUCCAAGUAAAUUUUAUUCUAUGCUCUUCCGGUAUAAGAAUAUGUUAAUAUCUUGAAAAAUAUCAUAUUAUUUUGUGAACUCAUAAAGCUAUUUUGAGUUUUUGUAAAAUGAAAACCUUACCAAAAUGUAUUUUAUUGUUGGAAAGCUUGACCGUUACUGCUGUUUAAUUUUUUGAGCUUGUAAACUUUAUUUGUGCAUGUUUUCAACAAAGAAGGAUUUUAUUGUUAUUACAUAAAACAGGUGAUUUCUAGAUUUUAAAAUCACAAAUUGAAAGCAAGGCACAAUAAUAUAUAUUUCAAGAUAUAGGUACUUAGGAGGCAUCCUUUUAGUCAUCUGUUCAAUGUAGCCAUCUAUUUUACACCUACUGUCUACUAUUGUUUGAGGUCCUUGCCAAAGUAUUGCAGGCUAGUUAGGAAACAUAAAACAAUUAGAAAGUAAUCUAUGACAAGUAAGCUAUCUAUAAAUGGCAAUGAAGGGUAGAACAAAUUCAAUGAAAAUAUCUAUUUAAUCCUAGUGUUUACUGGUCUAGAAGAAUAGGCUGAGUAAAUUAGUAUUUCUCUGGCUGUUGUGGUAACACAUUGCAUGCUAUAACAGUUUUAAGUAAUUACAGGUGCAUUGAAAUUUAUCUAUGGCUUUGUCAUCAUAUUCUAAAAUGUCAUGAGUACUUUUUUCUGACCUCAAUUACUAUGAAAUUGGUUUCCAAUAUUUAAUUAACCAAGAAUAUCAAGUCUAUAGGGUAUUAUUAAGGUGAGACUUCUGUAGCCUUUUCAAUAAAGACCAGAAUUUUGGAGUGCCUUGAACCUUAAUCAUUGAUCUUUAAUUCUUAUUAAGUCAACUGCCCACCUUUUAAAGACUGAGGCCCAGGAAGAGUAAGUUUCUCUGAGACAAUGCAUACAGUACAGUGCUUCUUGGGUAUUGGCUCUAAGACCAGAUGCAAAGAAAGGCUAAAAUCCCAUUUCAUUGUUCAUUAGGUGAGAACCCUUUGUUAAGCUGUGUAACCUCUGUGCAUAGUUUCCUCAUCAGCAAAGUCAGAAAAAGUAUGUACCUGAAGGACUGAUUGUAAGGCUGGGAUGAGAGAAUCCAUGUGAUCAGCCCUCACCAACAGGUGCUGCCCAGUUCAUGAGUGCUGCUGCUGUCCUGCCCAAGUACCCAGCUUGCAGAGUGCCAGAGUUAGAGUCCCAGGGGUGUUCUCCACAGCUGCAUGCUUGAUCCAGGCCUAUCAGGUGUUAUUUGUUGACGGAACCAGGCAUCAUCAGCAAACAAAACUGACAAAGCUUCCUGCCCUCUGUGGAAGGCAUCUGAGGAAGAGACUGGAUUUUGUAGCAACAUGUUAUUCUCAUUAUAAACUUUAUCAUUGGAAUACUAAAGCCAAAUCAUCCCCCAUCUCCUUGAUCAGGAUACCCACUUAAUCUAGGCAGCUACACAAUUGUGAGAGCCUUUGUUUUUUUCUGCUGAAACAUCCUUAAAAAGAUACCUCACAACCCAAGAUUUGGCUUUUCUUAAAUACGAUUUUUAAUUUUUUUCAUUUCUAUCUAGAGAUUUAAUUGGAAAUGGAAAAUCAUCAAUUUUCCAAUUAAAUGUCUGUUCCAAUCAACAUUAUACCUUUUAGGUUGUCAUUGUCAUUUUUAAGUUUAAGCAACUUUAAGGAUUUUGAAUCUGGCUGCCUGUAAAUUAAAGGUGAAAGUAAUCAUUGUGUUGGAUUGGAACAUUUUGUCAAUUGAGAGUGGUUUCCUUGUUCUUAGUGUAUGAAAAGUUUAUUUUUCUAAUGU